rnacentral:lncRNA from 1 species
CCUAGCUACUUAAUCAUCAAUAGCUAACUGUUUGCCACCGGACGUCAGCACUGGCAGAGCAGGAAGCGCUCAUUCCAUCCUGCUCCCCUUUCUAGAGACGUAAGACUCAGAAAGUGAAGUGGUUGAGCUGGGCUCCAUCUCCUACCCUCCUCGCUGCCGCUCCUUGCGCUACACCACACUUCUCUCUGCUUCUUGCAAACUCGCUGAGUCUACUGGCAGCCACUCUAACAGGUUUACAAUUGGCAAAGCUAUUGGGAGGGGAGCUUCACUGUUUAGUUGCAAACUAAGGGCUUCCUCAGUUCCAGUCUCCCUAGUCAAGCAGUCACUGUCACAGGCAGGUCAUCAUACCACCACGGAGUAGCUGACAGACCUUCUGUUUUGGAGAAGGAGAUUGCAUCACCAACCAGCUUCUGUGUCUUCGGUAUUCUUGACUACAGGAUGAGCCAAACAGUUAAGUUCAGAUUGGCUGUACCACAAUGUGGUCAUUUUGCUCAUCUGAACAUGGCUUACACCAAAAGAAACUAUCCUGCGCACAUAGCUGUUUCUCUCCUCCUUCUUUAUGACACAGAAGGUUUCUGGAGAGUGGAGCUAAGCCACACCCACCCUCCAGUCCUGCAUCCAGUCAACAAAUGCCAAGGACGUCUCUGUGGAACAUCAGGAAAACCUCUAACCAUGAAGCAUGAGAAUUAUGGGGACACAGAAUAUGGUGUGUAUCCGCCUAGGCAUGUGCUUGGAGAGAACCGUGGUGAAACUCCCCGGGACAUCAAUGUUUCUACAGAUGUUUUGCACAAAACUAAACAUUUGAACUGGCUUUUAAAUACUGGGUGAUCUUCUAAAGGAAACGGCUUUACUGUGACUGGAGGAUUUCUGGCAUAUUUCUAAGGCUUGCGAGCUCUAAAGAUCUAAAGCCAUGACCACAUUGAAUACAGAUGUCCUGUGCACUGGAAAGUGUCCUGUUGAUAAAAUCACACGGCAGAAUUUUCUUGAGUUGCAG